ACCCUUUUCGACAAUUCCAUCAUGAGUUCUACAAGACUUUGGGAGAGAGAUUGUGUGGAACUUUUCACUGUUCACUUCGAAGGACACUAUGUAAUCACUAUGAUCAAUCUGAGGAACCCAAUGCAAAGCUCCUAUAGCUGAAACAGGUCUGUAUCCAAACCAACCAAAGAUGCCAAAUGCAGGCCCAUUCACCUCUCUCCACAUUCUCGUCCCCAGAUUUAGCGUCUCACAACCGACAUAUCCCAACUCAUCUCGAAACAAAUGAACCACUUUAUAUUCACCAGUAACCUCAUUAAUUGCAAAGCCAAAAGAUUCUUCAUAGGGACGACAUAUAGUACCUACAGGAAGUGCCAUUAACUUCCUUGUCACAGGAUUCAUAACUAUCAGUCCUCCUGUCUUCAGAUCAUUAUCGAGUAAAAUAAGACCGUUGCAUGUAGCUCUUAUAUUGCCUAAGCAGCAAAGAUCAUACCCUUCUGUUUUGAUCUUUCCUCCUCUAAAUUCCAUGAACUGGAUAUAAAAAUUUUUUAAGAUUCGUUUCCCAAAAAUUGAGGAAGUGGAAGGCAUUGGUUCUAGACUUGCUUCAACUGAAAAUAAAUUUGGUUUGUCUUGUUGAUAUGAUGUCAUAGCACAGCUUGCAACUGAUUUUUGAAAGAUCAAGACAGAUUCAGAACAGUGAAAAUGUGCAUUCACGAAAUUGACACUGGCAAUUAUGUUGUACCAAGGUUUACAGGUAAAUCUCAUGCUUGAAAGAGACUGAAGAGGAAGUCGAACUAGAAUUUUUGAUAUGCAGUCUUUAGGGAGAUAUGGGACUACAGUUUCUUGAUGUUCCUUGUGUUCUUCCUCCACCUUCUUCGACAAUGCUCUCUCUUCCACCAAUCUCAACAAGUUUGCAUUCCUGCUUCCAAUUGACCUGGCCAUCAUGCUGUUAUACUCCCAGCUAGUUUAAAAAAAAAAAAAAACAACCGAAAAAAAUGGGGAUAUUAGAGUUUCUGGAUGAGAUUUUCAUUAUCAAAACUAAUUUUAAAAAGUAAAGAGCAGGAGACAGAGCAAUCUAUCAAAUCUGGUAUUUCACUCUCUGAAAGAUCACAUGAGGGAAACAAACAGACCAUACAUCAUGGUAAAUUUACGUAUGAGAAACAUUAAAUAGCUCCAACAAACUAUCGUCAAAUUGAAACAUAUCUUUUAUUUGUUUCCACGAUAUUUGUUUCAAUUAUUUCGUUACUUCUUAUUUAUCAUACCAUUUACAACAAUCAAAUAUGAAAAAUACACAAUUAAGCCACUAUAGAAUGAAAUCAUUAACUGUCAAGUACAAGUGUGCGAGUAGGUCAUAAGCAUUAGCAGCCGUGUAAAAACUAGUGUCUGCCAAAUACUUCAACGACAAUUAUAAAUAUACUGUUUAGUUUUUUUUUUAAUUGUAUUAAAAAAUGUAAAAAUAAUCGAAAUACAAAUUAUUUUUAUUGUAUUACAGACAGUGAAAAUAAUCAAAAUACAAACGACUGUGAAUAAUAAUAAUACUAAGGAUCUUAACGCCUGAGUCCUAACUUUAGGUCCAACUGCUAUGUGUUAGUCAUCCAAUUGAUGAUGAACUUCGUGACUAGUAAAAUUACCAUUCUACCAUCCAAAUAGAUGAAAGUCUCAACGCCUGGAACUCAAAUGUCCGUAGCAUUACUCUUAUGAACAAUCAAAGUGAAACCCACUUCACUCUCUUUACACUAGAAUUUCAAAUUACAAUAACCCAAAAAAAAUUUCAGGCCAGAGCUCAACAAAUCAAGAAAACCCAGUUUAUAAAUUUGACUUAACUCAUCGUUUUCAAGUAAAAUCUAUCACAACAGAUUUAAUCAUUGACUUUCUACUGAGACUUAAAAACCCAUCACAAAAAUAAAAUAAAAUCUACUAUGUGCAAGUAACAUGAGAAAAAUUAAGCAGGAACAUAAGAAAAAUGAAACAAUAUUACCUGGUGUUUUCGUUGCUUUGAGACAACUGAAUACUUACAUUUAACAGAGGGCCGUGGAGUUCAAGGCGAGCCUUGCAUUUUGUUUAGAGAGAGACCUUUGUUUGACUUGCCGAGGACGUAUUAGAAAUUCUUGGCGGCACUCCUAAAGUUUUAAAUAUUUUCAUUUUGACCUUCUGGUUUUAUCAUAUCGUUGUCCAGAUUCUCCUAAUGACUUUUUGGUCCUUUUUCCAUUUUGCAAUGAGUUUUUUAUUUUAAAGGAGUUAAAUAUGCAUGUUGGCUGCUUUUUGAGCUUUGAAUUAAUAAUAUUUGAGAAAAUCUUCUGAUGAAAAAGUAACUAGGAAAUCAAGUUUUAUGAAUAAUAAAAUACAAAAAUAAGUUGACAUAGCAAUUAGCAUCAAUUGUUUAGGUUCAGAUCUAUUGAAUUCAAAUAUAUUUUUAAUAAAAUAUAUUAGGAAACUAAUUUUUUAUGGACUUUUAAAAUAAGUUGACUUAACAUGAGUAUACUUGAUUAGACUAUAAUAUUAAGUAGUUCAAAAAUGUGAAAAACACCUAAUAGCAACAUACAUCGAUAGUCAUUAAACUUGAAAAAAAAAAGGAACAAGAAAAGAAGAUUAUCAAAGUGAUUUUUAGUUAAAAUUAUUAACAAAAAUAAUUUUUAUACUUUAAAUAGGAAUAAAGAAGAACAAAUAUUGUAAAUGUUUUUGGAGGGAGGGAAGAACCUGAUGAGGGGAUGAAAUAUGUACCUUUUUUUUUAAUAAAGAAAGUUAAAAAAUAGGAAAAUAAAAAUACAAUUUUUUCUCUUUUUAGUUGAUCUUUACAAAUGAAUGCAACUAUUUCAGAAGGUGUGGACAGUGAAAAAUAAAAUGUAAAGGGGUCUAAAUGAUAAUACACCAAAUUAUAGAGAGGUAGAUAGAAUUUUCCAUUUGACGAGAUGAUGAAAUAGCCUUUCAAUGGAAUGUUUUGUCGGUUUCUUCGGAAAUAUGAAUUGCCGUCUUUAACCCUCCUUGUUCCAAUUAAAUUAUAAAAAUAUGUUAAGGAAAGCGAAUUUAAGUUAUUAAAAUAAUUUAAUAAAAUUUAAAGUAAUAAUACAUUGAGCCAAUGGGCACAACCCAUGCACUCAGAAGUUCUGAUUCUCAGGCUAGGAUUAAAUUUCUCUUCCAACAAAAUUAGAUGGGGUAAAAUUUCUCUCCAAUUAGGUCUGGAUUUCUAACGUUAAAUAUUUGAAGAAUUUAGAUUAAAAUAAAAUAAAAUUGGGGAACAGAUGAGUCGUUAAAAAGUUUGCAAGCAUUGAUUUCAUAAACAAAAAAAUUCACUAAACAAAUUAAAGGUCAGCAUCCCACGUUGACAUAUUAAUAAUUGUUCUAAAAAACGGUGUUGAGUCAUUUUAAAACACACAGUCCCUUCUUCCCUUCAUCAUUAAUAUGACUAACCUGUUCAUAAAAAUUGUUAACAUUGUUGCACAUCAAUUUAUAUCCUUACCAUACUGUCGAAUCUUAUGCUAAAUACCAAAGAUGAUAGUUAAUAAUGGGCACGAUGCAUGAUCUGACAAGGAUUCAUUCACUAUGAUUCCAUCUGCCAAAACAAGCUUACAAGUAAACAACCAAAUUUAACUAUUUGUCUGGUGAAUAUACUCAUUUGACGGGAAAGCAUAAAACCACACUAUGGUAGAAGAGGCCUUAGUUAGGUUCAAAUCCUGCUCACACCAGGGCCAGUGGCAGGUGUGGGCAUGGUUAUACUAAAGCAAUCAAUCACACACAUUCUGACCUUUUUCCCAGGAGACAAGGCUGUUCACAUGAGGUAGACAGGAACUGGAAGGCGGAAACCACCCCUUUUCUCUCUCAAUCUUCGUCAUCACUUUGUGUGUGAAAUCAUAAGCAUAAAAUGAGCCAUCUUCAUCCCUCCUGAAAACCAUAUCUCCACUGAUUCUUAAACAGAAAUGGGGAACCAUAUCAAUUACGCUUCUCGUGAUUCUAUGAUGCUUUGUCCAGGCCUCAUUGCAUAAGCCCUUUAAGAUCCACAUGUCUAUGUUCAAUUCUUGAUAAUCAUGUGCAACAAAACAAAGGAAACCACCCAUUUCGACAAUUCCAUCAUGGGUUGUACAAGACUUUGGGAGAGAGAUUGUUUGGAACUUUUCGCUGUUCACUUCCAUGGACACUAUGCAAUCGCUAUGAUUGAUCUGAGGAACCCAAUGCAAAGCUCCGAUAGCUGAAAUAGGUCUGUAUCCAAACCAACCAAAGACCCCAAAUGCAGGUCCGUUCACCUCUCUCCACUUUCUCGUCCCCAGAUUUAGUGUCUCACAACUGACAUAUCCCAACUCAUCUCGAAACAAAUGCACCACUUUAUAAUCAACGGUAAC
rnacentral:lncRNA from 1 species